UUGCUGGACUCGAAGGCCUUUUGGGGGCUUGUGAUGCGGGCUCCUCUGGGGCGCCCUGCUUUGGCCUGCGAAACUUCCCAGCUUUUUCCUGCCUUCGGGGGUGUCAGAGUCCACCUCCAUGAAACUAAGAAGGAAAGAAUGGCCAUGGAUUUUCUGCCUGCACAGGUGAUGGAGUCUGUGACAUUUGGGGAUGUGGCCGUGCUCUUCACCCGGGACGAGUGGCUGUGCCUGGACUCUGCACAGAGAACUUUGUACCAGGAGGUGAUGAUGGAGAAUACCAGAGCCCGGUGUCCCUGGGGAUCCUGUUUUCAGUGCCAGAGGUGAUCUGCCUGUUGCAGCAAGGAAAAGAUCCCUGCAUAGUGGUAAGAGUAAUUCCUCCAGACACCUGUCUUGGUGAGUGCAUGGGUGUCCUCCUACCUGAGUCGGUCAGGGGAGGCAGGGCUCCAGCAACGCUUGGAAACAGAGACCUGGCUGAGCUGGGCAGGGCCAUCAAGAAGGGCCUUGUCUUGACAUUUUGUUAUCUGUUCUCCACCCCUGUCCCUUGCUUGCCUCACUCACUUCUACAUCUUUGGCCUUUUGCUCUUCAUAGUUUUCUUUCACAUUUACGUGGAUUUCUAUCUGACAGAUUUUAAAUACUUUAUACCUUCUGCUGCCUUCCAUGUUUUCAGUUCUUCAUCAUUUUCUUUCACAACUUUCAACAACUGCAUAUGUCAAAGUACUGUCAAUGCCCCUCUGUCGCUGGCUUCUCGAGGUUUCCCUGUUGUGUUUUGAAGACCAGUGAUCAUCUCUCAUUCUUAGGUUCACCCAGUUGCCAUGAGCACAGUCACUGCAGGCUUGCAGUCCAAGGGUUGGCCCACUUUUGCUAUAAGGGGCUGGAUAGCAGGUAUUUUGGUUUUGGGGUCCUGUGGUCUUUGGUGCAGCCACUUAACCCUGCCAUUGUAGCGCAAGAACAGCCAGAAGCAGGCGCCCCAGGGAUGUGGAGUUUGCCACUGUGGUCCUAGCCCAUCCUACCGUAGUGGGUCUUUGUCACAACACUGUGGGUUGCUGGAGUCACAGGGCGACUUACAGGUGAUCAAAUUUAGGCACCUCUUUUUUUAUCUGAAGAAACGGCAUUACAGAUUUUAUUUUUUAUUAAAAAAAAGGUUUUAUUUAUUUAUUUAUUUUAGAGAAAGGGAAGAGAGGGAGAGAAACAUUGAUGUGUGAGACAAUCAUCGAUCAUUUGCCUCUUACAACCCAAGCAUGUGCCCUGACUGGGAAUUGAAAGGGUGACCUUUUUCUUUGCAGGAUGACGACCAACCCACUGAGCCACACCAGUCAGCUCUAGAGAUUUUAACAUACUUCAAUCACAGAGCUGAAAAGCUCAGUGCAGUGGUAUAAAUCUGUGUCACCAGUGUCAUUUCUGUUCACCAUGUGACAUAGAUUUGUAAUAUUUUGCUUCUGUCUUUGUGGCUGGACCUUAAAUCUAUGACUCUUGCCUUCACUGACAGCAGUUUUUAUUUUAAUUUUUGUUCACUUUCUCUACAGAUCUUUUCAUCUUUAUUAAAAUACAAUUUUCUUCCAGCAAAUAGUAGGUAGUGCAGAUAGCAUAUAGAUUGUGGUUUUAAUUUAGACAUUUCUAAUUUCAGCUUACCCCACCUACCACUAACAAGCCUAACAAACUAUGGGAACAGUACUCAGUCUGGCUGAGCCUUGUGUUUUUUAACCACUGUCCAUGCCACCAGCAGAGUGACAUUUUUGAAACAUAGGUGUUAAUCCCAGAUCUCAAGAGAGAUUCAUUGUUUCCCCAUUAUCGAUGGAGUAAAGUAAAGCCCUAAUGUGAGGUGAAACCUACUUUAUAGUCUUUCUCUGUGUUCCUUCUUAGUCCCAUUAGUGGCCAGUUUAAUGUCGCCUCCAUGUGCUGGGCGAGGCUGCCUGCUCACUAACAUUUGUGGGUUAUUCCUUCAUCUUCAAUUGCCUCUUCCAUCUUGCCUGCUGCAAAACUAUUUAUCCUUCAAGAUCCAUAUGUCUGCUCAAAAAGCCACCCUUAAUUUGUAGCUUUACUUUAUCUUUUCUGCUUCCUAGUCAGCAUUCAUUUUCACUCAUUUGCAUUGAUGUAGCACUCUUUACAUACUGUGAACAUAUCCAUUAUGGUAUUUAUUGUAAUGAAUUAUCAUUAUUAUUUGUUUUCCUUGUUAUGUUGCACAUAUUGAAGGAAUGCUGUGCCUCUAGUAUCUAAUGGAUUGCAUUUAGUUAAUUUUUCAAUCUAAUUGAAUUGUCUCCAUGAUCAGCUUAAUGCCAGUGAGGCCCAAAAUCCAGUUCUCUGUCCAGCCAGAGCCCUGAAGCUGUCAUUCCUCUGAUGCACGCUGCCUGCUAAAAAUGACCCUUUUUUUUCUUACCAUUUCCAGCCUGAAAAUCUGCAAUACCUUCUGUUAUCUGUAUUACUGUUCUUGAUUCCUCGGCCAGGUUUUCCAGAACUCUGUGUGUGCCCUCAUCCUUCUUAACAACAUUCUGCACUUAUUCUGACUAGGAUUUCUUCUUCAGUCAACGUGUCUUCCCUGAAUAAUGACUUCCCUUAAAGAUGGCUUUGGGCCUUCUUUCUGGCACACAGAAUUCUCUUUUUCUGUUGAACUCCAUCACAUCUUCAUUGUCCAACUUCCUUCAUAAAACCAUUCUUUACUAAUAAAGUUGAUGUUGGUAUCUUCUUUCUGAGCCUCACAUCUGCAUCAUACAGUGAGGCAUCUCAUAUCCUUAAGCAAUGAGCUAUUACUCUUUGGUCAUUUAGUUCAUAUUCUCAUUGCUGAUUAUUCAAUAUUUGUUCAAUAAAUGACUCAUUGUGUCUCAGGUGUCCAGUAUAAGAGGAAAUAAUCUCCCUUUAAAAUAAGUUUUCCAACCGAUACUGCCUAUUUCUUUUUCUUUCACUUGAGACAUUUUGAUUGCAUCCUUGCCUUGUGCACAAGGAAUUAACAAAAACCCAAUAAUAUAUAGUUACUGUUCUCCUUGAACAAAUACUGAAUUAUUUUUUACAAACUUUAUAUAUGCAGGUGAUAGAAUGUGUAAAUAAAAUAUGUUUUGAAAGUCUAAGAAAGAUAUGGUAAAUCUAGGCUUAAAUAAUUAAGUUUUUUUAGAGAAUGGGAUCAGAAUAGUAGGGUAAGUUUAUGGCUAUGGAAGGCCACAUCAUGGCAAAGGAUAAACAGGGAGAUGGAACCCUGGUUGAUCCUUGAAAAUUCAAACUGCUAAGUUUCCCAAAGAUAUCCUUAACUAAGACAAAUCUGUAUUUCUAUAGAUGUAUGGCCUAUAUUUCUUGUUCCUCUUACUAUUUAAUUUCAAUAAAUUGGUUGGACUUUAAAAACAUAAAUAAUCUAAUUAUAUUUUAUUUAAGUUCUGUAGUUUAUUUAAGUAUACAGUUACCUAAUUAUAGUGAUCGAAUUCAAGUGUUUUCAGUUAUGGAUUGACUAAAAAAAAGCCAGGUUUUAAUGUAGAACUCCUUAGAAUCAGCUGAAGCUAAAUCUGUUCAAUUGCAAUCAAAUUUGAGCUGGGGCUUGGACAUAUUUCAGAACAUCAGGACAUGCUGACCUAACAUUUCUUGCAGAUUUCCAUUAGUUUCAAAAGAUUCCUACAAAGAGAGUUCAACCAUCUGGUUGCAGUUUAUUUGAGUAAAUGCAUAUGUCUAUUUCUUUUCCUGAUCAAAUAGAAAGGGGGAAGGAUAGUAUGAAAAAAUUAUUAUUUUUCCAAUUACAAGGGAUAGAUUAUUGCACAUGGCUGAUGUAGUCCAUAUUUCUCUUUUCUUUAUAAUUAUCAUCUUGAACUUAGAUCAGAUGGCAUCCACACAAUCAUGCUUCAGGGCUGUCGUAAAUUUAAAACCUAAACUUUCUCUUUUAAUAGACUGUUUUUCUUUUCAUAGCCUGGUAUGAAAGCAUUUACAUACAAAAUCACAAAACUUAAGAUAAAUAUUGCAAAUGUUUUUAAAUUCUUGUGUAUAGAGUUUCAGCGAAAGCAUGGUGUGGGGAAUGUAAAAAAAAAGCAACAUGUGAAUAGAAAGGAGAAAGUAAAGACAAGUGAUGUGCCUCUUGCCUAGUGUGCUCAGACUAGAAAGUAAAGAUAGACUGAAGUAUCCCAUAGUAUUCAAUGUGAGCUUGUCAUUUUCUGUAUCCUCAUACCUUCUGCUCAACCAGUUCUGUGUCUGUCUUUACUUCUCUCAGAUUGUGAUCUCUUCAUUUUCAUGUCUAGUGUAUUCUCCCGUACCACUCCUUAACUAUUAACUUCCCUUUCCAUUCCAUCCUGUUUUUCUUCAGAUUCAAGUCCAUAUUGAGAUCAGACGGUAUCAAACCUUUUUGAUAUGUAUUAUUGCUGAUGUUGGUGUCCCACUGGUGCAUACUAAUCUCUUCCAGCAGAGGAGGCAUUAAUUCUUCUAAUUCAUUCCAGAUUUCAAGAGUUGGCUUGAAGUAGAAGAAUUGCAUCCCAGACAGGACAUUUUUAUAAAAGAAACAUCUCAGGGAAUAAUAAAGAAACAAAUCCACUAAGUUUGGUCAUUGGGGCAUCAAGUUUGAAGAAGCUUUGGAAUUUGAGAGCAAAGCAGAACAAGAACAACAUAAGAAGCCUUUUAGGCAAAUGGUAGCCUCACACAAGAAAACCAUCUGUGGUGAUAGAAACCAUGUAAGUCUUGAAUUAGAGAAAGGCUUAUUUAUAAAUACAUUUCUUGUUGCACAACAGAGGUCUCUUAGAGAAAGGACACCUAAUAUAUAUUCUACUUUUGGGAAAGAUUUGAAACAGGAUUUUGAUCUAAUGAAAUGCUCACAAAUUUAUUCUGGAGAAAAACCUCAUGUUUGUAAUGCUUGUGGGAAAAGCUUCAGUCAAAGUCUUCAUCUUAUUGAGUGCCAGAGAAUUCAUAGUGGUGAGCAACCCAAUAAAUGUAAUGAGUGUGGGAAAAAUUUCAGCCAUAGAUCAUCCCUUCUUGUCGAUCAGAGAAUUCAUACUGGAGAGAAACCUUACAAAUGUAAUGAGUGUGGCAAGGCAUUUAGCAGCAGUUCAGCUCUUAUCAAACAUCUGAGAGUGCACGCUGGAGAGAAACCCUAUCAAUGUAAGGAGCAUGGUAAAGCCUUUAGCAGGCGUUCAACCCUUAAUCUACAUCAGACAAUUCAUACUGGAGAGAAACUCUAUAAAUGUAGUGAAUGUGAAAAGGCAUUCAGCUAUAGAGGAAAACUUUAUAUACAUCAAAGAAUCCAUACAGGUGAGAAACCCUGUAAAUGUCAUGAAUGUGGGAAAGGCUACAGCAAGCUCACUUACCUGGCUAAACAUCAGAGACUUUAUACUGGGGAACAACGGUAUAAAUAUUUGGAAUGUGGGAGAACUUGCAACCUGCAUCUCAAAUGUUGUUGAACAUCAGCAGAUUCAUACUGGACAGAAACCCUAUCGUUGUAAUGAAUGUGGGAAAACCUUCAACCAGUAUUUGUCCUUUAAUGAACAUCGUAAAAGUCACACUGGGGAGAAACUUUAUACAUGUGGAGAAUGUGGAAAAGCCUUUGGAUGUAUAUCCAACCUUUAUAGACAGCAGAGAACUCACACUGGAGAGAAACCCUCACACUGGAGAGAAAUGUAAUGAGUGUGGGAAAAAUUCAUCCCUUCAGAAUUCUCUGAUGGACAGUGUGGACAGUGUGGGAAAUCUUUCAGCAAUCCUGACUGAACAUGAGAUAAUUCAUACCAGAAAGAAACUAUAAUGUGUGGAAUGUGGGAAAGCCUACAGUUACAGAUCAAACCUUUGUAGACACAAAAAAAUUUAUACUAAAGAAAAAGUCUAAAUGGAAGGAAUAUGGGAUCAGAGAUUUCUUAGAGGAGAUAAGCCCUGUGAAGUUUAAUUUGUCUCUCAAAUAAUUCAAGACUUCUCAUUGGAAAAUAAUGAGAAUAAUAAAUAAGUCACAGCAUCCAGAUAAAGUAAGUCUUUUUACUUCUCCAGGAGAAAAAAGUGCUAGUUACUACUAAGUAAUGAUAAAACUGUUGAAAGGAACUAUGAAGAGCACUGACUUGUCAAAUUUUAUAAGAAACAUUAAAUUCUACGUUUCAAAUACAAAAGUUUUUAAAUUCCUAAAAAAGUAAAAGCCAAACUUUAAAAAAAAAGCAUGAAAAUAAUGGAGUACAAACUUUGUUUCUUUCUUUAGACUUUACUCCCUUUUUAAGAGUAAGCUUCUACAUGAAUUUUCUUAUAAAAACAGUCAUUUAGUUAUUAAUGUGAAUAAGUGUGGGGCCUUAUUUUCUAAGACAUAAACAUAAGAUGUCUCCCUAGACAUAUGUCUCCCCAGACGUAGGAUGUGUUUGUUCUUUAUCAUGAAGAGAAAGUAAAGCUAAAAAUAAAUUCUUUAUAUUCAUAUUUUCA